GGGCGGAUCUCGGUGCUGUUGCUAUUUAACCGGCGGGAUAAAUGACUCUUGCGCUCGACGCAAAUCUAAAAGGGGUUGGUCUGAAGUAGCGUCAUUAUUCAUAGGUGUGGUUUGGGCGUAACGGGAAACAAACCAAUAAGAGCGUCAUAUCACAUUCCCUUUAAGAGCAUGAUGAACGAGGUGCGCUUGUUCCAUGGCGCAAUACUAUUAUAACGACGCAUUUACCAGCGCGCUUCAGAAUCGGUUCACAGCCGAGGAGAUCGAUGUUCUCGUCAGGGCCGUAAAAGAAAGAGAAGUGACAUUGGGGAUGGGACAAACCCACCCAAAUUAGCUUCGGUUAAAAUGUAUGCGCGUUGUUCACACUCUGUAUUAUGGCCAAGCAUGCGCGCUUAAAAUAGCAUCUGAAUGUACGCGCAACGCGCCACUGACUUUAGACUAGGUUUUUCUGGUCAGUGGCGCAAUUGUUUUCUGGAACUGCAAAAUAGCA